rnacentral:rRNA from 1 species
GACGAACGCUGGCGGCGUGCUUAACACAUGCAAGUCGAACGGAAAGGCCUGCUUUCCCUUGUGGAUUGCGGGUACUCGAGUGGCGAACGGGUGAGUAACACGUGAGUGAUCUGCCCCCAACUUGGGUAUAAGCCUGGGAAACUGGGUCUAAUUCCCGAUAGGACUGCAGGGUGGUGCCUGUGGUGGAAAACGAUUUUCUAGUGGUUGGGGAUGAGCUCGCGGCCUAUCAGCUUGUUGGUGGGGUAAUGGCCUACCAAGGCGGCGACGGGUAGCCGGCCUGGGAGGGUGGACGGCCACAUUGGGACUGAGAUACGGCCCAGACUCCUACGGGAGGCAGCAGUGGGGAAUAUUGCACACUGGGCGGAAGCCUGAUGCAGCGACGCCGCGUGGGGGAUGACGGCCUUCGGGUUGUAAACUCCUUUCGACCGCGAGGAAGCCACCUGGUUGGAAGGGUGGUGACGGUAGUGGUAGAAGAAGCACCGGCUAACUACGUG